rnacentral:rRNA from 1 species
CCCUUAGAUGUUCUGGGCCGCACGCGUGCUACACUGAGUAAUUCAAUGGGUAAGGGAACGCUAGAGCAUUACCUAAUCUUGAAAUUUGCUCGUGAUGGGGAUCGACGGUUGCAAUUUUCCGUCGUGAACGAGGAAUACCUUGUAGGCGCAUGUCAUCAUCAUGCGCCGAAUACGUCCCUGCCCUUUGUACACACCGCCCGUCGCUCCUACCGAUUGAGUGAUCCGGUGAGGCUCUGGGACCUGGACGGAAAGAGCGUUUCGCUUGUUCUGUUUGGGAAACUCGGUCGAACCUUAUCAUUUAGAGGAAGGAGAAGUCGUAACA